UUUUUUAUUUCUCUAUUCGAUUCAUUUAAUUUGAAGGUGUUCUACUUCUUGUUUGUCAUCUGGGUGAGAGUUGAUGACGGCAAGCUGCGGUUGAGUGCAUUAGUGGACCAGGGCGCGACCUAGCAAAAUGUUUUACUUAUGAGGCCAGGAGCUCGAUGAGGCGUCGUCACCACCGUGGCAGCAGCCGUGGCCCAGACGGGGCCUGGGGCCCUCAAGACAUCGGGCCCAAAGGUAAUAGGUGCAUCAGCUGACUCUACGCGACGUCAAUGCGGCGCACCUUCAGAAGUUCCUCCUCCGUGUCAGGAGUCACUGGCCGAGGCACUCGGCGUCGUGCCCCUGACCGAGCAAACUACCAAUUCCGCUGGGUUAGAAUUAUCAACAAAGCCUAAUGAAAAUGUUUACCUCCAGCAAAGAAAUUCGAAGCGUUUGAAUCCUUUGCCAGUCCAAACCGGAACAGACGAAUCUUUUGGCCGUCUUAGUCGUCACGAGGAAGGUGUAUCUCAUGGUUUGACUCCACUGAUCAGCAAUACAGGCAAAUGGAGACCCGCAAGAUUAUUGGGCAUCACGGUUAUCUGCAUGGUUCUUAUUUCCAUCGUUGCACCUUGCAUUACUUUCUACUUAAUUUUAAAGGACCAGCGCUUGGAGCUGGCGGCUGUGCAGGAGGAGCUGUGGCGCUGUCAUCUCCACAACGCAGCACCCGGCCCCCAGCCUCCUACAUGGCGGGGCCAGACAUUUCAGCGAGAACUUCUUCAGCAGACAUCAAUAGGAAAACAACAAACUUAUAGUGUAAACAAUGUAGGGGAAAAAAAGCAACAUCUCGAAAAUGAUCAGCGUGGAUCUAGAAAUGAAGAACAAUAUUUAGAAGAAGAGAAUGAAAUUUUAAAGCAGCACCAAGGAGAACAGAUAAAUCCACCAAGAGAAAGAAAUAUCGUGUCUAUAGAGCCUCAAAUAGUGUUGCCGACAAACUUGAAUGACAAUCAACAGGUAGGAAAUAGGAAGUUUCAGCAGCAGCAGUUGAAGCAAGAUCUCAAUCAAAAUUUACAUCACCUACAGCUACCUCACCGGAAACAGCAACAACAGCCACAAGAACAGAGGCAGUAUGAACAUCUUAUGACGAUAGUAAGCUCAGCCGAGCAGCUGAGUCACGAAGAUCUCAAAGAUUUUUUAUCCGUCGACGAAGGCCCGUCAAAAUUUAGCCUCUUCCGGAACAGUGAUCUCAAUGGCGGGUCCAUUGGGAAUGCGCAUGUCACUGAGAAUGAUCCUCGCGAUUUUAAUGUAAUCUCCGCUACGAAUGAUAUUUUAGAAGCAUUGGUGGAACCUACCGGUAAACAGAAUAAGAACUUAGAUCGUUUUACUUCACCGAAAAUAAUUGACAACUCAGAUGACCUGCCUGAAAGUUUUCGUAGGAGCAGAGGAGAAUACUCUACUCUUGAUUCUAGCGAGAAAACGGCCAGUUAUCUGAAUAAUUUUAAUAUUACAAGAAUAAUACAAGGAGGAGUGCUUAAAAAUGGGUUUCAUCAUUUUGCUGGUAAUGAUGAAUAUUCGAAAUUAGCAACCGAUGAAAAUGAGACAAACCGAAGACAGUCGGUUCCUGGAUCACUCACAGCUCAGAAACAUGACAAGCAUAAUCUGGGAUCUGCUACUACAGAGCCUAAGAGUAUUUCAGCAUCUGUCUACGGCCGACUAAAGAGAUCAAUGGCCCGAUCUUCCGAAGAAUCUGGACAUGAUGUCCUCAGAAUCCGUAAGCGCGACACGAGUCCACAGUUUUUAACGGUCCGCGGUGUCCAAUCCACGGCCACGACGGUCAGAGUUCCGGCCGUUGAAGCCUCGUCGCUCACCGACUCGACUAACUCCAUAGAAGCCAUUACUACAACUGACGUGAGGAGAAAAUCGUCUAAAUUUUACCGGAGUUUACUCAACAAACGACUUAAUGAUCCUUUGUUCAACGCUUCGACACCGCUACCUCAGUCAUCCCUCAAUGAGGAUUACGUGAAGUUGCUUGAGAAGCAACUUCGAGAUCUGCGUUCUCGCGUCAAGAGUUGCCGCUCAUGCUUGUCUCGUAAGGAGCGUCGGACUGCCCUGUGCGGUGGAGGGUCUGGCUGGCGGGAGCACAGAAGACAAGAGAAAAUCAUGCGUCGACGUCUAAAGCAUCGCCGUAGAAUAGAAUAUUCUAUCCCUGACGACGAGGAUCAUGACGCUGUUGGCGCCAAGGAGGGAUGCGACGACCGCGGGAAGAGCUUAGAGGCGGCAGAUGCAACCCGCGUGGCGUCGCCUGAAGUGAACACGGAACACGCCGCUCCUCGGCCCAACAUCACACCCCACCAAGCGAGGGAGAGCCGUCGGAUGAGCACAGAUUUCCGACGAGGCUUCAAUCAGAAGAUCGUGCGGAUGGACGAGGCUUUACAGCAGUUCUCCGAGACUCAAUCCGCCUUCUGCAAGGAGCUGCGCGACAACCUCGGGGCUCGGCUGGAGAAGCGCGGGCUGGAGCUGGGGGCGCUGUCGGAGCAGGUGGCCGCCCUCGUGCGGGUGUCCACCAAGCAGGUCGCCAUGCUCGAGAUGCUCACCUCGGACCAGGUUUACACAGGUCAGCAGGGCAUCGAAAAAAAUCUUGCGAAUCUGCUGACGCUGAAGGACUCUCAGGUUCGUUACAUCAAGAGCUACCACAAGACGAUCCUCCUGCCUGCCAUGGUCGCUCUCAACUCGCUCCUCUCAGACCACGCGACCUCCGUCACCUCUCUUGGUGUUGAUAUCAUCACCAAGGUGGAGUUCCUCCAAGACUCAUACGUGACACACGCCACGCGUCAGGCCGACGCUCUUCAGAAGCUGGGGCAGGAGUUGGAAAUGGUGGCGCCUCAGCACGCCAACCUCCUCAUGAGGGGCAGAGACCUGGCCAGAAGACUGCAUGCAAACGCCGAGACCUUCGUCAGGGAGAUUCAGAGCCGCAUGAACAACGUUGUGAAGGAACUUGUGGCUAUCAGAGUUCAGAGUCAGAGUUUUGUGAACUUCAGUGAUUCCACUUACGUCAAUAUUUCGGCAAGCCUGAACGCCACGGAGGAGGUGGUGGACAAGCUGACGUCUCGUCUCCACGACAAAGUGAACGCGUCUAAGGCCCAGGAGGUCGCGUUCAAGCAGGAGUUCACUCACGAGACCGAACUGCUCAGCUCCAGGAUGCAGGCCGGCGUGAGCUCGGCCCUCACGACCAACCAUCUCGCUCUGAACCUCGUUGAGGAGACUGAUGUGGAGGGCCUGAGGUUCGUGAACGAUGCGUCAACCGCGUGGUCCGAGUACUACCUCAACCAGGAGGACGAACUCAGACUCGACGCGGACAGACUAGCGAACAACCUGCAGAGUUACACUCAUCACACCCAGAACAUCCUCACUGGCCUUAACAACGCCGCGCAGACGCAUGAGCAGGUUCUGGAGGAGCAGCGCAUGGACUUCUCGCGCUUCGUGCGCACGCGUCAGGAGGCGCUGGACUCGCAGUGCCACGCCAUCUCUGACUGGAGCGUCCUCAUGUCCUCGGAGCUGCGGCGGCGCGACGAAGACCUCCACAGGUUCCUCAGUGACAACCUCCACUUCUCGGCCACGCCGAUAGCCUCGUAUCCGGAAGAUGUGGACUCACUCCUUGUGUCCGGGAGACCGGAGCAUUCGUUGCUCUAUCAUUCUGCACGCGGUCAGCUCCCAGAGCGGCUGCCCUCGUCUUCUCAAUCUGCAUACUCAAAUUCAGCCGUCGACUCUCAAGAGGCUUUAAGUACAUCUAAUGGACGAGGAAUACCAAAUGCAUCAGGCGCAAAUAAGCCUGUGUCAUCGCCUUCGUCUUCAUCAAAUGCCACUGGCAGCUCUUCUGUUGGCCCUGAUUCAGUGUCUGCUGAAGGAGGCUCUUCUCUCAAAGAAGAUGACUCAUGAGCGUUUUGAUGACUCCAGUCGGCAAAGACAACAUGACAACGAUUAGACAAGAGUACUUCUGCCCGGCCACCAUCGUUCCACCGCAACAAGUGUUUCUGUCUACGUCAGCAGCUACCAUAACUACUGGAUGUCAGUUAACUAUUGCUGAAGUGGUCUAUGACGUAGUGGCCUACAACUCCAAAGCAGAAUAGCACGAUAUACAGAGCAGUGUUGCCUGCAGUGUCACGUCGUUUAUUAUUUCAGCCAACAUUCCGGAGAACCACAUGAACUUCAAUCGAUGCGUCAGCCAAAACUAAUGAGGAGCAAAAUCCUGUUGCCAAUAUUUCGGUAUAUGAGCCGCAUAAGAAAUAACCUGAAGUUCCUUUCUAUUCGCAACAAUGACUGACAACCCGUUUGCUUCUUAUGCAAGUUUUCAUCCUGUGUGGUGGCCACUGACCGACAAACUAACACUAGCCUGCUUGUGUGUUUAUUGCCACAUUAACAAGAGUUGCUUUCAAAGUUGAGCCCCUAACACCUGGGGUGGCCGUUGCUACUCGUCGUGGCCGCAUGCUCUGGAAAGAACCACGGUUCACCUCGAGUCUGUUGCUGCAAUGUUUCGAGUUGAAAAUUCGAAAUAACAGUAGAGAAAUCUGUUAUUGAAAAGGAGCCUAAUGGUGCUGCAUCUCUAGAAGAAGUCGUUCCAGAUG
rnacentral:misc_RNA from 1 species